GAUGAACGCUGGCGGCGUGCCUAAUACAUGCAAGUCGAACGAGGAGCUCUUGUAGCAAUACGAGGGUUUCCUAGUGGCGAACGGGUGAGUAACGCGUUGGUGACCUGCCCCGAAGAGGGGGAUAACAGUUCGAAAGAACUGCUAAUACCCCAUGUGGUCACGAGGGUUAGAGGCCUCGUGUCUAAAGGAGCAAUCCGCUUUGGGAGGGGCCUGCGUCCCAUCAGCUAGUUGGUAGGGUAAUGGCCUACCAAGGCGACGACGGGUAGGGGGCCUGAGAGGGUGGCCCCCCACAAUGGAACUGAAACACGGUCCAUACACCUACGGGUGGCAGCAGUAGGGAAUAUUGCACAAUGGGCGAAAGCCUGAUGCAGCAACGCCGCGUGCACGAUGAAGGUCUUCGGAUCGUAAAGUGCUUUUCGGGGAGAUGAGAAAGGACAGUAUCCCCGGAAUAAGUCUCGGCUAACUACGUGCCAGCCGCCGCAGUAAGAC
rnacentral:rRNA from 1 species